CUCUCUCUCUCUCUCUCUCUCUCUCAAUCUCUCUGAUUUACGAAUUUGGGGGAUUUUAGGGCUUACAGAUUUGAACGUGGACCCCGAAUUGGGGAUUUUAGAAUUUUGGGGAUCUCGAGGAUAUUUGAAAUUGGGGAUUUCAGGUGGUUUUGAUAGCUGAUUUGGGUUUUGACUGCCGAUUUGGAGGUUUUGGUGUUAACUACAAUAUUCCCUGGUGGCCCUUUGAUGAUGGACUAGCCAGUGUAGCUAGUAGAGAUAGGUUUUGGAUUGUAGAAUGCUUUAGAGGAAACUACCCCUAUUCUGGGAAAGCAAAAAGUAUAAAGAUCAGGAACUGUGGCUUUUGUCUGUCGAAAUUAUAUAGCUAUGCUGUCCAAAAGGAAUAAGUGGGGCCAAAUCAGUUUGUGAUCUCACUCUGUUCUUGAUCAUUUGGAAAUUGUGGAUCAAAGAGGUUGUGGGAUGGUGCAAUGGGAACUUCACUUUGUUGUUAGUGCUUGAAGUCAUAGAAGAUGUGUCCUGUGUUCUACCAUACAAUUGGCUACUUCAUAGUUGGUUUUCUCCUCCGAAUGGGCCUGUGUAGAGGAUUUGAUUAUUCAUCUACACAACUUGGUUGGCAACAGGAAGAUUUAUGGCAGGCUGCAUUUCUGGUUGGCACAGAGCUCAAUUGGUUUUCUUCAAAAAUGGUGAAGGAAAAGUGAUUUGUAUCCCUAUCGUCGUGGCGAUUGUUCGGUUCAUGCUCAAGUGCUCAACUGCAACUGAAUAUUCUGUAUUCAUUCCUGUGUAACUUGGAGCCAAAUGCGUGCAUUGGUGCUGGGCCAGAAUAGUCAGGUAACGUACAGAUUGAAGACAUAGAGAACCAUCUCCCUAUGAAAGAUUAUAUUGAAAGAACAAGAAGAUAGUUUAUGAUUUGAAUUUAUACUUUCACUGCGAACUCUGAUAUUGUAACAAGCUCCCAUUGAGUGGACAUUUGAUUAUUCUUUUACUCUGAUGAAAUAAUCAAUACAGUCGAUUUUAUUCUGGUGAAU